GAUCCUGGCUCAGAAUCAACGCUGGCGGCGUGCCUCAGACAUGCAAGUCGAACGAUUAAACUUUCCUUCGGGAAAGAUAUAAAGUGGCGCACGGGUGAGUAACACGUAGGUAAUGUACCUUUGGGUGGGGAAUAACUUAGGGAAACUUAAGCUAAUACCGCAUAAUGCAGCGGCUCCUUCGGGAGACAGUUGUUAAAGAUUUAUCGCCUAAAGAGCAGCCUGCGGCAGAUUAGCUAGUUGGUAAGGUAACGGCUUACCAAGGCUACGAUCUGUAUCCGACCUGAGAGGGUGGUCGGACACACUGACACUGAAUAACGGGUCAGACUCCUACGGGAGGCAGCAGUCGGGAAUUUUGGGCAAUGGGCGAAAGCCUGACCCAGCAACGCCGCGUGAAGGAUGAAGUCUUUCGGGAUGUAAACUUCGUAAGAAUAGGAAGAAUAAAUGACGGUACUAUUUGUAAGGUCCGGCUAACUACGUGCCAGCAGCCGCGGUAAUACGUAGGGACCAAGCGUUGUUCGGAUUUACUGGGCGUAAAGGGCGCGUAGGCGGCGUGUCAAGUCAAUUGUGAAAUCUCCGAGCUUAACUCGGAACGGUCAAUUGAUACUGAUGUGCUAGAGUGCAGAAGGGGCAAUCGGAAUUCUUGGUGUAGCGGUGAAAUGCGUAGAUAUCAAGAGGAACACCUGAGGUGAA
rnacentral:rRNA from 1 species